AUGUAACUGCUUACUUAUCGAUCGUCGUUCGUCGAUCGUCCAGUCUGCUUGACCAUCACGUAACAAUCGUGAUCUGUCAGUGGACGAUGAUCAGCAUUUCUUUAUCUGCGACGAGCACUAAAGAACAGAUUACUUGCAAAAAUCCUUAAGUUAUACGAUCCUGUGCCUGAUAAUAAUUUCUAAAGACUAGUGCUAGUGUUUAUAUACCUAAAUUACCUAAAAUUAUUUUUUAUAAAUACUAGGAUAAAAAAGGUAACAAUACGUUGAGUUUGCAAUCAAUUUAUCUUAAAACCUAGUGUCCUUAAAAAUAGGUUACAGCUACAACUAGGAACUAAGAAGAAAUUAUCUACAUCUAUCGCUUAUUAUACUACGCUAAACCUACAAUUUACCACAUCGGUGAGAAUCGAACAUUAAACCUAUUAUACAAUUCCUUAUACAUACAAUUUACAAACUUACAAUAUAGGGCAAAUUAGGAAUAUUGACAUAACCUUGAAUUAUUAUGUGGAAGAGAAGUUGAAUUACUAAAAGUAAGUGAAUUGGAUUCUAAAUUAUGUAUUUAAAAUAAUUAUUGUAUCCAUCAUUCCUGUAGGAAUUUAUAACUCGAUGUACUCUCAGUAAUAAAGUUCAUGAAUUCGGUUAAUUCUGGCGACGCCCGCGACUAUUCUUCCAACAUUUUAUAAAUUCUUUUAACCGAGCCGAGAGAUGUCGUCGAAGCAUUCCAAAGCCGAAACCGCGAAAAAGGCGAGUAAAACGGUCACGAUGAGCAAUCAGCAAGUCGCAGAGCCCGCGACGAACGCUACAUCAUGUUCAACAAAUACCGUUGCUGUUCCCUCUACUAGCGGCCAGGUAACAGUAGUUAGUAUCGAUCAGGCCGGGACUGGAGCAGCCCCUGAGAAGCGUAUGGCUGGAGAAAGGCGAACCGAUAAAUCUAGUGGCGCCACCCGCGCAGCGGUCAUUCAGGAGUCAGACUGUCCCUUGUGUGAUGAGCCAAAUGAUAUGGAAAUGGUCCAAUGUGAUACUUGCCAGAGGUGGUUUCAUUUUCGGUGCGUGAAGGUAACGCAGGACAUUCAAAAUGUGAGCUGGAGCUGCACCGACUGUCCUACUGUGAGUAAUCAACAACGUACGACUGCCCCCGUACCUACUCAAAACCAAACAUUGCCUACUCAGUCGCAGACGGCGAAGAGCGUUGUAAAGAGUAUACAAAGUGAGGCAAGGAGGAGAUUGAAGCUGCAGUUGCUGAAAAUCGAAGAAGAGAAAAAACUUGAACAGAAGUACCUGAAGAAGAAAUACGACGUGCUUCUUGAGUACGGAAGUGAUACUUCAACGGAGAUAAGUGUCAACGAGGCGGAGAAAAUAUCUAAAAUCGAGGAAUGGGUGGCCGAUACUGAGCGUUGCGAUAACCAAGCGAACACCGGAUUAGAGCCUGAAGAGAUGGAAGAACUUUUGCCAAUCCAACUGGCUGGACCUACAGAGCAAACUGCUCCGAAUCUUGAACAAGGCACCGUGCAACUCACAAAUCCACAACAUCCAGUAUCUUCGGAUGUUCCUGGUAUUCAUCGUGUUAACCCUCCUUCGCUAAUCGACCCUCGCAUGUUCGUUCCAGGACAAAGAUCAACACCGAUGCGUCCGAGUCAGCAAGUAUCGAUGCCGCCGUCUGCGCCGCAUGUUGCAAAUGAAACUGUAUGCAUUCUAAACAGGAGUCAGCUAGCCGCACGACAAGCGGUUUCGAAAGAUCUCCCGGAAUUCAGUGGCAACCCCGAAGAUUGGCCACUCUUCUUCUCGAACUUCAGUAACUCUACCCAGAUGUGCGGGUUCUCCAACGAAGAAAAUAUGUUGCGGCUCCGAAAGUGCCUCAAAGGGAGAGCUUUAGAAGCAGUCAAGUGCCGCUUGCUUCAUCCGUUUAACGUCGCAGGAGUUAUGUCAACAUUGAAAAUGUUAUAUGGCAGGCCGGAAGCGAUUAUACAAGCAAUUGUAAAAAAUGUUCGAUCGUUACCAUCGCCAAACAUCGAUAGGCUAGAGACCGUCGUCAACUUCGCGCUCACCGUGGAGAACUUGGUCGCAACAAUCCAAGCAUGUGAAGUACACGAUUUCGUCUAUAAUGCUUCUUUACGAUACGAACUGGUGGAACGGUUACCUUCGACGUUGAAGCUUGAUUGGGCCAAACACUCUAGGGAUAAGCUCAAUCCAAAUUUGCUCGACUUCAGCUCGUGGCUGUAUUCAACAGCAGAGGAUGCCAGUGCGGUAAUGGCUACGAUAAAUAACGACCCAAAGCCUCGUUCCAUUAAGAAGGAUGGAUUUUUGAAUAUACAUUCAGAAACCGAGUCGGGAAAUAACAGAUCGUACAUGUCACCAUCUAAAGUGAAACCAACUUCUUUCAGUGGGUUUGAGAAGCAUUGUCCCAUAUGUAAGGGCGGGUGCCAGAGCGUUCCAAAGUGCAAACGAUUUGCCGAGUUCAGUUAUGACUCGAGAUGGGCUGCAGUGCGAGAGUGUAAACUCUGCCGAAAGUGCUUACGGAAGCACAACGGAUCAUGCAGGCAACAGAAGCCAUGCGGAAUAAGUGGUUGUAUUUAUUUACACCACCCUCUUCUCCACAGUGAGAAACAACAGAGCAAUAGUUCGUCAAAUGGAUCAAUCACUGCUACGCUAUCAGAAGGGACAUCUCAGCAGAGUUGUAACAUUCACCAAGGUCAAUCGAAAGUUUUGUUCCGAAUACUCCCAGUUCGUCUCUAUGGACCCUCGAAAACAGUGCAAGCCUUCGCGUUUAUCGAUGAUGGUUCGGAACUCUCGUUAAUGGAUCAAAGCUUGGCUGAAGAGUUAGGUCUGAAAGGCCCCAGGAAAUCUUUAUGCCUGAAAUGGACAGGAGAGACGCAGCGUUUAGAAAAAUCGUCACAGAUUGUAAGUCUGCAAAUUUCAAGUUGCUUCAGUCAGGCAAAAAGGUACGAACUUUGUUCCGUACAUACCGUACAAAGUCUACAAAUAAGACCGCAAACACUACUCUAUUCUGAGAUUCAGAAAAAGUACCAACAUCUUGUCGGGCUUCCCAUUCAAUCGUACGAGAACGCCUGUCCUCGUAUAUUGAUAGGUCUUGAUAAUCUCAAUCUCGGACAUCCACUGAAGUGUAAAGAAGGACAAUCACAAGAACCAAUAGGCGUCAAGACGCGUCUUGGGUGGACCGUCUAUGGAAGCUGCGUGUCAGAAGAUGCUGCUGAACAUUCCGUUAACUACCACUCCUUGCAGAUUUGUCAAUGCAACCAAUACAAUGAUGAGGAUCUCCAUAGAACAGUUAAAAGCUUCUUUUCGUUAGAGAGCAUUGGAAUUACAAAGCCCGAAAGACCCUUACAGUCUCAGGACGACCAGCGUGCCCUGAUGCUUCUGGAAUCGCUAACAAUAUUUCGAGAUGGAAGGUAUGAAACGGGACUUCUGUUUAAGUACGACAAUGUGCGUCUGCCGAACAACAAAGAGAUGGCGCUGAAGAGGUGGCAGUGUUUGGAUCGGAGGAUGAAGCACGAUCGAGCAUUAGCUGAAGCAGUGAACGCGAAAAUCGAAGACCACAUCGAGAAGGGUUACAUACGCAAGCUAACUGACGAAGAGGUUCAAGCCUACCCUAAUGUCUGGUAUCUCCCGAUGUUUCCAGUGGUAAACCCAAACAAACCCGGAAAAAUAAGGCUCGUGUGGGAUGCUGCAGCCACAACUUACGGAGUUUCUCUGAAUUCCGUGCUAUUGAAGGGUCCGGAUCUUCUAACGUCGCUGUUAUCUGUACUGAUACAGUUUCGCGAAUGCCGUAUUGCAGUAUCCGGAGAUAUCCGGGAGAUGUAUCAGCAAGUAUCAAUUCGGAAGAAGGAUCAACCGUACCAGUUAUUCUUCUAUACAAAAAGUGGAAUCAACCCGAACACGUACGUCAUACAGGUCAUGACGUUUGGAGCCUGUUGCUCGCCUAGUACUGCACAGUACAUAAAAAAUCUCCAUGCAAGGAAGUUCGAACAGAGCUAUCCUACAGCUGUUGAAGUAAUCGUGGAACGCCACUACGUCGACGAUAUGCUUCUAAGCGUCGAACAUGAGGAAGAAGCAAUAAAGCUAACGAGAGAGGUGAGGAAAAUUCAUGCAUCUGCGGGAUUCGACAUCCGAAAUUGGGCCUCCAAUUCUCCCGCGGUACUGAAGGCGCUGGACGAGUCCCCCACAGCAGUCAAAAGGCUAAGUGGUGAUGGUUCAGUUGAGAAAAUCCUCGGCAUGUGGUGGGACACUUCUACAGAUAACAUUACGUUUAAAAUUUCCGAUCGUAUAGAUGCGCUGCUCUUGUCCGGUACCCGUCGACCUACCAAACGAGAGGUCUUGCGGACUCUCAUGAUGGUUUUUGACCCGCUAGGGCUUAUCGGACAUUUUCUGAUGAUCCUCAAGACGCUUUUCCAAGAGAUAUGGCGCUCGUCAAUCGGCUGGGAUGAUUCGAUCAACGACUCGCAUUUCGAAAAGUGGUCUUCGUGGUGUGUGUCUCUCCCCGGAAUAACGACGCUUCAGAUCCCUCGCUGCUAUCGAACAAAAUCCUCUAUAGCCAAGCACAAUGACAUCCAGCUACAUACCUUUGUUGAUGCGAGUGAAACCGGCUUCGCUGCAGUUGUAUACCUGAGAUUUCAGGAAGACACCACUAUCGAAUGUGCAUUAGUUGGAUCGAAAACGAGAGUGUCACCUAUCAAAUUUCUGUCCAUUCCCCGUUCAGAGCUUCAAGCCGCCAUAAUUGGAGUCAGACUAGCAGAAACGGUGAAGCAAUCGUUAUCGAUCAAGAUAAGGCAACGAUACUUUUGGACGGAUUCGAAGGAUGUACUCUGCUGGCUGAAUUCCGACCAUCGUCGUUAUAGCCAGUUUGUGGCCUUCAGAGUCAGCGAGCUCCUCGAAUCCUCAGAUGUGCGCGAAUGGAAUUGGAUACCUAGCAAGCAAAACGUGGCGGACGAAGGAACGAAAUGGAAGACCAACCCCGACUUGUCCGCUUCUAGCCGUUGGUUCCGUGGGCCAGAAUUCCUGUGGAAAUCUACGGAACAUUGGCCUAUGUCUAAUAGUCGCAUCGGAGUAACCACUGAAGAACUACGUCCUCAUCUGUUGUUUCAUACUAAAAUUGUAGAACCUGUAAUCGAUCUCCAUCGCUUUUCCGACUGGCGGAAACUAAUUCGCUGCACGGCUCAUGUUUUUCGCUACAUAAAUAAUCUGAAAUCCUGCGUAUAUAAAAAGAAUGUAACCAACGGACCACUGCAACGUCGAGAGCUAAGCGAUUCCGAAUGCUGCCUAUUUCGUAUGGCACAAAACUACACCUACGCUGACGAAAUCACCAUUCUCUCUAGAAACCGGCUUGCAGAGAAUCCAGACAAAACCAUUCCGAGAAACAGUCCAUUAUUUCACAAAUGUGUCUUCCUCGACGAGAACGAUGUUCUAAGGGUUCGAGGUCGAACAAGAGCUUGCCAGUUUAUCGCCCGAGAUGCCGCUCAACCAAUCAUUCUACCACGCGAGCACCCAAUCACACGGCUUAUUCUUCUUGAUUUUCACAAGCGGUUCAACCACCAGAAUCACGAGACGAUUCUCAAUGAAAUACGUCAACGUUUCCACGUUCCAAGACUGAAGGGAACAUACAGGAAGGUACGCAGGGAGUGCCAAAAAUGCAAGAACGACCAAGCGUCUCCACAACCUCCCGCCAUGAGUGACCUGCCACCGUACCGUCUAGCUGCUUUCACAGGACCCUUCACGUACAUGGGGAUCGAUUAUUUCGGUCCCAUGACCGUCGUCGUUGGACGACGCUCAGAAAAAAGAUGGGGAGUGCUGGCAACAUGCCUCACAACUCGCGCUAUCCAUUUAGAACUAGCUCACACACUGACAACCGAUUCGUGUAUUCUAGCAAUACGUAACGUAAUGGCUAGGAGAGGGACACCUGCAGUUAUUUUUAGCGACCGUGGCACCAACUUCCAGGGCGCCAGUAAAGAAUUGAAAGAAGUGCUGCAAGACAUCAACCAAGAACAGCUCAUGCGGGAAUUCACAACAUCCAAUACGGAAUGGACCUUUAUACCGCCAGCUUCACCACACAUGGGCGGAGCGUGGGAGCGCUUGAUUGGCAGCGUAAAAUGCAACCUUCAUAAACUGCAGUGGAGGAAACUUCCCACGGAUGAAGUUCUUUACAGUACACUGCUAGAAAUUGAGAACAAUAUAAACUCGCGACCACUUACUGACAUCCCCAUGGACGACGAUGAAUCUCCAGUGCUGACACCAAACCACUUUUUGCUGGGGUCAUCAAAUGGACUAAAACCAUGGGUACAGUACAACGAUAACCCCAUCGUGCUCCGGAAUUCCUGGAGGCAAUCACAAGUUAUGGCCAAUGAAUUUUGGCGCCAAUGGUUAAGAGAUUAUCUCCUUGUAAUCACCCGUCGCACCAAGUGGUUCAUGAAGGUAAAACCAAUUCAAGUGAAUGAUGUGGUAGUCAUCGCAGAUCCCAAGGCCCCUCGCAAUAGUUGGCCUAUGGGACGAAUCAUCGCAACCAGAGCAGGACAGGACGGGCAAGUCAGGAGUGCCACCAUACAGACUAAUCAGGGCAUCUACGAACGUCCCGCGGUUAAACUCGCCGUACUCGACGUGGGCGUUAGGAACCAAUACGCCUCCGGAGAACCCUCUGCGCAUUCGGGGAGGAGUGUUAAUACGCCCGUCGAUUUGGCGAUCCCCUCGUACAGUACACAGUAGCAAUGUAACUGCUUACUUAUCGAUCGUCGUUCGUCGAUCGUCCAGUCUGCUUGACCAUCACGUAACAAUCGUGAUCUGUCAGUGGACGAUGAUCAGCAUUUCUUUAUCUGCGACGAGCACUAAAGAACAGAUUACUUGCAAAAAUCCUUAAGUUAUACGAUCCUGUGCCUGAUAAUAAUUUCUAAAGACUAGUGCUAGUGUUUAUAUACCUAAAUUACCUAAAAUUAUUUUUUAUAAAUACUAGGAUAAAAAAGGUUACAGCUACAACUAGGAACUAAGAAGAAAUUAUCUACAUCUAUCGCUUAUUAUACUACGCUAAACCUACAAUUUACCACAUCGGUGAGAAUCGAACAUUAAACCUAUUAUACAAUUCCUUAUACAUACAAUUUACAAACUUACAAUAUAGGGCAAAUUAGGAAUAUUGACAUAACCUUGAAUUAUUAUGUGGAAGAGAAGUUGAAUUACUAAAAGUAAGUGAAUUGGAUUCUAAAUUAUGUAUUUAAAAUAAUUAUUGUAUCCAUCAUUCCUGUAGGAAUUUAUAACUCGAUGUACUCUCAGUAAUAAAGUUCAUGAAUUCGGUUAAUUCUGGCGACGCCCGCGACUAUUCUUCCAACAAUAUGUUUCAUGCUUUUUCCAGCCUCUGGAUUUGAUCUAUAGUUUGCACGUAUUGUCGUAUUGCCUGGAGAAAGCAUUUGUGUGAUACGUCAUUAUAGGGCGCUUGUAACGUGCAUAUGUAUUAGUGAUCUGUUGGGCAGGCAAUAGAGAUCGCUGCAUAAAAUUUAUAUGGAUCGGCAAGAUUAAGCUUUGUUUAAAUAAUCAUUUUAGCGAAAUAGUCAAAGAAAUUACGCGCUAUACUAUAUUAAUAACAUGUAUAUGUCUCUUUAGAUAAAAAAAAUACUUUUAGCGUCAAAGCCAAGUGAAAGAAGUGAAAUAUGGUUAUAAGAAAAUUGAUCAGAAACGAAGAAAAUCCAUCAAUUGGCUAAUUCAUGGAAAAUACAAGGAAGCAUUUGAACGUGAGCUCGAGCCUCUAUGUCUUGAAUCUAGGUCCGAAUAUGCUGAUAAUCCUUUCCUGUUACACAUAUCCCUCGAUUUACACUGAAGAUAGGUUCCCGACAAAACCGUGUAAAACGAAAUAAAC